AUCGUCCGGUAUCACCUGUCCGUGACCCUUCAUUUCACUUGCACCCGACAAUCCUAACACACCAUUCGUCCACUGACCACAUCCUAAAAUGUUUAAAUCCACGAGCGAUGCUCCAGACAAAUCCCAAUCAAUUCAAAAUGUUGCUAUAAAAUUAGUGACUGAGCAAAUGAAACUUAUGCAACUGGAAAAUGGUCCAAAAGAGACUACAGUCUUCGUUCUGGGAAGCAAAGGAGCUGGAAAAUCCGGGAUAAUAAAUAAAUUUUUCGACAGAGAGGAAAAUUCCAGACCUACCUUGGCCUUGGAGUAUUCAUUUGGACGACGCACAGGACAAAUGCGAGCGAACGACAAACAAAUCCUUAACGUCUGGGAAUUGGGUUGCCUCGAUAAUAGCAAUCAACUUGUCGAGGUCCCGAUGAGAUCUCAUGGAUUGGAAAAUUUUUCGGCAAUAAUUGUUUUAGAUUUAUCACAACCGAACCGCCUGUGGUCAGAUUUAGAGUGUGCCUUGCAAGGACUCAAACGUGCCUACACGAAACAAGUUAGUGAAAGUGAUGUAGGUCGUCAUAAGCAAAAGGCCGAGGAACGGGUUUCUAAGGAUCAUCCGGACUUAGGGAGUUUGGAAUUGUUUCCGUUUACAAUUGUUAUCGUUGGAGGGAAAUAUGAUGUGUUUCAAGACUUUGAUCCCGAAAUCAAAAAGCACGUCUGUCGUUGUUUACGGUCGAUAUCACAUGCCAUCGGUGCAGCCCUUCUCUUCUACUCCCAGAAGAUCCCGAGUCUCGCCAAAACAAUGCGUGAUACAUUCAGCCACCUUGGAUUCGGUAGCCCAACCCACCCUUUUCGGAACACCACCACCAGUGACUACAACGGGCCCAUAAUGAUUUGGUUCGGAUCAGAUUCCUGGGAGAAGAUUGGGGUGACUCCUUCCAAUUCGGAGCGGAUUGGAGUAACCUUCAAUGCAGAAAUUAAACAAGUCAAAGGUGAAUCCCAGGCUGCCUUACCUGACGAUCCGACCAAGGAUCCAGGAUUUCGUGAAUCACUUAUCGAUGAAAUGCGCGCACAAAAGGAUGAAGAGCUCAUGACACUGAUACGGGACACUGAGAUACGAUCGAAAUUCGAGACGGUCGCCUCUUGAGAUGAAAUUAUGGACGUUUCAGGGAUGUGGGAGUUUGACGCCACUUGAAUUAGGCGAAAAAAAGCUGGUGGGCUGGUGGCUUAAUGAGACUCGAUAUUAAUUUAAUACCAUCUUAUCGUGAGCCGAAGGUGUUUAUAGUAGCAAUCGUCAACUGUUAGAAUAAAUUCCACUUGAACCGAAGGUCCUACUUUUUCUGCGUUUAAUUCGCGUUUAAGGACACCACCUUCACUACCUUUAGGCUGGAACUCGAUUUAAAGAACACAAAAUAAUUAAAAUGUUCCACCUGUAACUCCAUUUUAAUAUUAAAUAUACUCUGAAUUUCAACUUGAAUU